CUGAGUACUACACUCUCUACCCUUUGUGAACUAUUAUACCUGUUGCUUCGGCGGCGCCCGCGAGGGGUGCCCGCCGGUCUCAUCAGAAUCUCUGUUUUCGAACCCGACGAUACUUCUGAGUGUUCUUAGCGAACUGUCA
rnacentral:misc_RNA from 1 species